GACGAACGCUGGCGGCGUGCCUAAUACAUGCAAGUCGAGCGGACAGAUAAGGAGCUUGCUCCUUUGAAGUCAGCGGCGGACGGGUGAGUAACACGUGGGCAACCUGCCUAUAAGACUGGGAUAACUCCGGGAAACCGGGGCUAAUACCGGAUAGAUUCUUUCCUCUCAUGAGGAAAGAAGGAAAGACGGUUUCGGCUGUCACUUAUAGAUGGGCCCGCGGCGCAUUAGCUAGUUGGUAAGGUAACGGCUUACCAAGGCGACGAUGCGUAGCCGACCUGAGAGGGUGAUCGGCCACACUGGGACUGAGACACGGCCCAGACUCCUACGGGAGGCAGCAGUAGGGAAUCUUCCGCAAUGGACGAAAGUCUGACGGAGCAACGCCGCGUGAACGAAGAAGGCCUUCGGGUCGUAAAGUUCUGUUGUUAGGGAAGAACAAGUACGAUAGUAACUGAUCGCACCUUGACGGUACCUAACCAGAAAGCCACGGCUAACUACGUGCCAGCAGCCGCGGUAAUAC
rnacentral:rRNA from 1 species